GACAUCCAGAGAACUUAGCAGAGAUGCUUUGGUGCCUUCGGGAACUCUGAGACAGGUGCUGCAUGGCUGUCGUCAGCUCGUGUUGUGAAAUGUUGGGUUAAGUCCGCAACGAGCGCAACCCUUUAUCCUUUGUUGCCAGCGAUUCGGUCGGGAACUCAAAGGAGACUGCCGGUGAUAAACCGGAGGAAGGUGGGGAUGACGUCAAGUCAUCAUGGCCCUUACGGCCAGGGCUACACACGUGCUACAAUGGCGCAUACAAAGAGAAGCGACCUCGCGAGAGCAAGCGGACCUCAUAAAGUGCGUCGUAGUCCGGAUUGGAGUCUGCAACUCGACUCCAUGAAGUCGGAAUCGCUAGUAAUCGUAGAUCAGAAUGCUACGGUGAAUACGUUCCCGGGCCUUGUACACACCGCCCGUCACACCAUGGGAGUGGGUUGCAAAAGAAGUAGGUAGUUUAACCUUCGGGAGGGCGCUUACCACUUUGUGAUUCAUGACUGGGGUGAAGUCGUAACAAGGUAAGCGUAGACGU
rnacentral:rRNA from 1 species